CAGGCCGAGACCCUUCCCCAGGACUGGAAAGGAAGGGGAAAGAGGCAUUCACAAUGGAACAAAGAAAGACAAUAGAAAACUACACAGACAGACUGACAAUAUGCACAGGAAGACAAACUGUGAAAAUACAAAAAAGGAAACUACUAAUAAUAACUACGCAGUAUGGAAUUCUCCAGUGGAACCAGCAAUCUCUGGCACUUUAUCCAGUUUAAUGAAGACAGUUAGUGGUCACUGUAUGGGAGUCCUCGUGUGUGAAUAGACUGGCCACUCUGCAGAAUACUUCCGUUUGGUCCUCAAACCCAUCAGCUGUCUGAGACCUCAAUUCUCCAUCCCACUCACACUCUGACUCCCCAUGUUGGGAUUCCUCCACUGAUUCCUAUGGUGACCAAUAUAAGUUUGAAGAAGAGGACCACACUGUCCGACUUGCUAAGGUGCUUCCCUCAGCAUGUAAUCUCAGCUAAACAGAUUCACCAGCUUGGUUUAUAAACUGUAGCAUUGAAAUUAAUACAAUGCAUUACAGCGCCAGUGACUGGGGUUCAAUCUCUGCAGUGAUACGGAAGUCAGUUGUAUGCUCUUUACGGGACCUUCUGUACCAACGAGCGGAAAUACACAGCAACACAUCAUUUUAACCGUACCCUAAUCACAGGACAAUUUACUAUGACUAAUUAACCAAAAAACCAGCAUGUCUUUAGACAGUGGAAGGAAAGUGGAGCCCGUGGAGAACAUGCAGGGAGAGAAAGAACAAACUACUUACAGACGGCAUCGAAAUUGAACUCCAAAAAGGCCUGAGCUGUGAUACUAAAAAGUUUAAUGCCACAUUACAA